rnacentral:misc_RNA from 1 species
UCAUAGUAUCAAGCCUGGCUUGGUGUUGGGCCCUCUGUCACCUGGUGACAGGUCCGAAAGACAAUGACCGGCGUAACAGACUCCCGAUGCAACGAGCUUAUAACAGCACGCAUCUGGCAGUUGUGUGACCCGGUCUUCGCCCCAUUCUUUCUCAA